ACUUGCAGUUAUUGCACAACUGAGUGAAUAACAUGAUAGUCUUAUGACAUAGCUAUCGCGAAACACUUAAUAUUUUGCUCAGCAGCGGUAGACUGCCGAUUUUCUAUCGCCCUUGCACCGAAGGCUGAAAUCGUUGGAAAAUAUUGCGAAUCUAUUUUGUGCUCAUCAGGGAGGAUUGAUUUCCUUCAAAUUUCGGAGCUUUUGGUUGAAUCACACAAACCAUAUCGGGCAAAAUGGCCAAGAACCUUGAAAACUUAAAUGGGUAUUAUUAAUGAUCGUAUUUCAUCAGACUUCAAGGUAACGCUGAGUUGACGGCUAUGACACAAAUUAUAAAUUAUUUUAUUUAGUUUUAUUUCUGAAUAUGUUUUCCUUUUGUGUAUGUGAGUUAUUUUCAAAUGAACACGUACCCUUUUUUUAAUUUAAAUGCCAAUUUUUUUUGUCGAAACAUUUUAAUUGGUUUACUUUGUAAUGUAAAUUGCUAAUUACAAAGAUACACUUUUCAUUAAUUUUAUUCGCUUUCGGUAUAUAUAUGUAGAUAUUAGGCAAAAUUAUAAACAUUUAACUAAAAUAUCUAUGUAUUUGUGCAUUUUUGAGAAAUAGUAUCGUAUUUAGAAACAAAUUAAAAAUUGUAUAUAAAUUUUAAUUUUUAUAUUUGCACGGAAAAUAUUCUGAUACUAACAUAUUUAAGAGUCUGCGUAGACUUAUAAUUUCUGGGUUAAAAUUAUAGAAAUAAAAUAAAGCAUUUAACUUAUGGUA